rnacentral:rRNA from 1 species
AUGCUAACUCAUGAAGAAUUUGUUGACAUGGCCGUGACACUUUGGGCAAUAUGGCAUGCUCGACGGAAGGCAAUACAUGAAGCUAUUUUUCAGAGUCCCCAAGUGACCCACAGCUUCAUAGAGAGGUAUCUGAAGGAUCUGUCCUUGAUCAAUAAUAAACCGAACACUCCAGCUAGGAAUGCCACAUCUCUCCAAACAAACACAAGGCCAAAAAAACCACCGGCUGGACAUUGCAAGAUCCAUGUGGAUGGGGGAGUGCAAGGAAGAAGAGGAGGAUCAGCAGCUGCAGUCUGCAGAGAUUCGGAAGGGAACUUCUUGGGCAGCUCGGCCCUAGUCCUUGAGGGUUUAACUGAUCCGGCCACUCUUGAAGCUAUAGCAUGUCGUGAAGCUCUAGCACUUGCUGAAGAUCUACACAUACAACAUUUUGUUGUAGCAUCCGAUUGCAAGCAAGUCAUCUCAGAUAUUCAGAGAGGCGGCAGAGGUGCCUACGGGGCGAUCGUCAGCGAGAUUAUUAGUCAUUUGAAUUCCAGCAGUGCUAUACACACGACACGAGCCAGACGAUUCAUGCACGAUACUCAAAUCCAGCCGGACAUGCACAGGAUUUAG